AGAAUUUGAUCUUGGUUCAGGACGAACGCUGGCGGCGUGCCUAACACAUGCAAGUCGAACGGGGCUGAGGAGCUUGCUUUCAGCUUAGUGGCGGACGGGUGAGUAACGCGUGAGUAACCUGCCUCCGAGAGUGGAAUAACGUUUUGAAAAGAACGCUAAUACCGCAUAACGCACAAGAGUCGCAUGGCUAAUGUGCCAAAGAUUUUUAUCGCUCGGAGAUGGACUCGCGUCCGAUUAGUUAGUUGGUGAGGUAACGGCUCACCAAGACCGCGAUCGGUAGCCGGACUGAGAGGUUGAACGGCCACAUUGGGACUGAGACACGGCCCAGACUCCUACGGGAGGCAGCAGUGGGGGAUAUUGCGCAAUGGGGGCAACCCUGACGCCAGCAACGCCGCGUGAAGGAUGAAGGUUUUCGGAUUGUAAACUUCUUUUAUGAGGGACGAAGGACGUGACGGUACCUCAUGAAUAAGCCACGGCUAACUACGUGCCAGCAGCGGC
rnacentral:rRNA from 1 species